CUUUGCAAAACAAAAUAUAAAAUGAUCAGUAAGCAAGAAGAGCAUCCAUUUACAAAACACGUAAACAGGAGUGCUGCGUAACAAUUCAUAAAUAAACGUGGCCCCUUUCUGGACAAAGCUGCUCCGAGGAAGGUGGAAAUGGGUGGUGGGCUGAGGGUGUGGGUGACACAACAGCAGGAAACAAUUGAGGGGUGAGUCAAAAGGGUGGUGGUUGAAGGUGGAAUUUAUUCAGAGAAUGUUUUAUUACGUCGGCGGUCUGCAAAGUACGACGGCCUCUUGGACUUUUCACAGCACUGUAUGAUCAUGUGACAAAUUAAUUAAAAUACUUAAAAUCUUGACUUGGUAAUGGCCGUUUGCCAUCUGUGUGCCUAGUGAUUGUCGGGUUAGCAUAGUAAAACGACCAGGAUAUACACGUUCCUACACAUCACUGCAAGUACACCUAGAUGUUAUGUGGGUCUACUGGAGCGGACUGAGCGACCGUAAAACCUCACAGCCCUAGUCCCUCCAAGAUUAAUUUCAUCGAUAUCUCUAAUCCGAUAGACUA